GAUUAACGCUGGCGGCAUGCCUAAUACAUGCAAGUCGAACGAGAAUUUUUAAUUCUAGUUGCGAACGAGUGAGUAAUGUAUUUCUAACCUGCACUAGAGAGUUGCAUAACUACUGGAAACGAUAGCUAAUACCGCAUGGUAUACGAGGAGGCAUCUACUUGUGUUUAGAUGUGCGAUCGCACCACUUUGGGAUGGGGAAAUAGCACAUUAGCUUGUUGGUAGGGUAAAGGCCUACCAAGGCGAUGAUGUGUAGCCGAGCUGAGAGGUUGAUAGGCCAAAAUGGGACUGAGACACGGCCCAUACUCCUACGGGAGGCAGCAGUAGGGAAUUUUCCACAAUGGACGAAAGUCUGAUGGAGCAAUGCAGCGUGAGGGAUGACGGUCUUCGGAUUGUAAACCUCUGUUGUAAGGGAAGAACAAGCAGGAUAGGAAAUGAUCUUGCUAUGACGGUACCUUACCAGAAAGUCACGGCUAACUAUGUGCCAGCCGCCGCAGUAA
rnacentral:rRNA from 1 species